AGCGCGAAGGAGGCAGCGACUUUCCGAUGCCAUUCCGGGCGUUUUCAGUGUCCUUUGGCGGUGAGGUUGGUCUUUUUUUGACCGGUAAGUUAAGAGCUUUCUUUUAGGAGUAGCAGUGUCGGUAUUGGUAGUCGGAGGAAGGACUUCCGACGAGGUGAAGGCAGCCAAAAUUUUAAAUUUUUACGGCGAGUUCCUGUGAGGGAUGGCCGAUCAAAGGACAUAUCCGGAAUCCCCUCAGCUCAAGCUUUUCAAUGGCAUAAGUUUCGUUGUGAUUGAACUCCGUUUGACAAUCGACGGCCGAGAUCGUCCGUAAAGCUUUUCGGAUGAUCGGGGGUCGGAUUGGAAGAUCGGAAGUUGGAAUCAUCAUCAACGCGUUGUGUCGAGCCCGUAGGCGCGUUCGGAUCGUCGAUCGGACUCCACUGGAUGCCAGUUAACCGAGUGAUCAAGCGUCUCGAUAAAUCCGUCAGUUCGGCUCACUCCACCCGAAGCAUCCGUGCAGGGCUAGGAGGUCAUCAGAACUACGUUGUUAGCUUUUAUGUGGUUCUUUUCUCUAGCAGCCCGAUUCCUUCAUCUUCGGGUUUAAAGUAACUUUUUAGAUUGGUAUGUUUGAUCUUUUAAAAAUUCUAGAAUCUCCGCAGUAGAAAUUUCAAAUUUAUAAUUUUGUAAUUUUAUGUAAAUUCAGGUUUUGUUUAAUUAUGCUGGCAGACUGAAUUUAAUAUAUAGUAUCUAAUGAUUUAAGAUUAAUUGUGGAAAAGUGUAAAUGGACAGAGUUCGGGUUAUAUUUGGUUUGAGUUAGAGAAUGGUCAAGCUUACUACGAGAUUUGUUGGCUUUACGCCUACAAAUUUCCUAGUGCGGUCACGGGCCCUAUAGAUCGGGUCGUGACAAAAAUAACUAUAGUAUUUCUCAAAAGUAAAUAAAAAAUUCUGUAGAAUUUGCAAUUAUUUUUCUUUUUGUAAAAUUUGAUAUGAUUAGAUCGACAUUAUUUUAUUUGAUUUUUUAAUAAGACAUAUUUCAAAAUUUAGAAAAAACUUGCAUGCCUUUUUCUUUUUGUAAAAUUCGAUAUCAAUUAGAUUGGCAUCAAUUUAUUUUAUUUUUGAAAGAUGCUAAACAUUUCAUUAUUUUUUGUUUCAUUUUUUAUCACUUGAUGUGACAUCUACUACUUUUAUAAAAUUACCCAUUAAUUUUUAAAUAUUAAAUAAUAAUUUUAUAAAGGUAGUAAAGCCACAUCAGAUAGGUAAGAGAUAGAACAUAAAAUAUGGAUUAUGUAGCAUUGCUUUUUAUUUUUUAUAAAAUAUAUUGCAUAACUAAAAAAUUACUAUAAAAAAAAAUAUAUAAGGAUUCAAGUAAAUUUGUAAAAUUAUAGAAAAAACUACAAAAAUUUAAAAAUUAUUAUAAAUAAUACCAAUAAAAACACCUAUCAAUAUCAUGCAUAAUCCUUAUGGUUGGAGAUGUCAAAACACUAUCUCAAGAGUUUUAACGCAUAUCAGUGUCUUGCAUAAUUCUUACGGAUGGUAAACUACUACCUCAAAAUUUUAAUGCAACCGCAUGCCUAAAGUUUGAACUCGAAACUUUAGUUAAACUGAAAGAAAUCCUACCAUCUCAUUUACAAGCUAUUAGAUAAUUUAAAUAAGAUUUUAAGAUUGAGUUGAGUUUUUUUUUUUUUUUUUUUUUUUUUUUUUUUAGUUUUGAAAGCAACCAAAUUGAAUUCACAAAAUUGUACCAUCUCCGUUAUAACCUAGAUGUUCAAGUAAUGCUGGGUGAAAGAUAGAAACGGGAGAAGAAGAAGUGGCGUGGCUAGUUAAGGUCACCCUUUAUAUAUACUUCUUUACCUUGUCACGUUUAUUGAAGAAUUUUUUUAAAAGCAUUAUUGAAGAACUAUUAAAAUAUAUAUUAAUUAACUAUAAGAUACUUUAAUUCUUUAUCAAUUACAAAAUUGACCAGUUCGUUCAUUAAAUAAUAUAAGAAAAUAAAAUAUUUCUAUAAAAACUGUAUUCUACAACUAAUCUAAAAUCUCAUCAAGUAUAAAUUAUGUCUAAAUAAUGCAAACAGGAAAAAGAAAGAAAAAUGCAACUCGGU